rnacentral:lncRNA from 1 species
AAUAAGACCAGACUUUGGUUUCUUUCGGAGUCUUCCUUCGCCAGGCUGAUGAGCCCUGUGACUUCCAUAUGUUUCUUCCCAAAGUGAUUUGACCCUGAAGCCCUCUGUUCCUAAGGCAUCUCAUGAGGACAGGAGGAUGAACAAUACAUGAUGAGAAAUGCAAUUUCAACCCAUUUUGUUGCCCUGAUUUCAUUUGCACAGAACUGAAGUCCCUCUUGUGGGCAUGGGCAUGGUCUCUGGUCCCCUCUCCCCGCCUGCCCCAGCUCCUGUGAGCUUAGAAGGGCUUCCAGAGCAAUCUGUCCACCAGGCCCCCUGCCCACCCUUAUUAACCUUCGCUUGGUGGAAAUCUCCCCCAGGAACCCCAUGCACCUGCUGACCCCCUCCACCUCUGGUUGGUCCUGGAGAUCGAGCUUCUCUUCCCACACUUGGGGUGUCUGGCUUCAAUCCCUUUCUUUCACGUUGUGGUUUCAAAUGCAAUUACAUUUUCCUAUGCAGGUUCCAGGCAGCAUAUUAAUCUCAAACACAACUGCAGUAGAUUGUGCUAAUUAUUUUCUUUUCGUUUCGUGAAUCCGGAGGUUGGGAUCUCAGAUCAGGAUAUGGGAAUGAAUGCAAAUGAGUGUUUGUCAGUUACUGGGCCUCCUUGAUGUCAGGUAGGUGGCUCUGUGCUCUGGAGAUUUACCUUCUCAAGAUGCUUUCUGAGUUCUCUCAUCUUCUGGGACUUUCCAUGGCUUGUUCUUAGACUUGGCUAGCUUUUGUAUUAUUCUUUAUACACUAGUAUAAAGAAUUAAAUCUGUUAUUAUUAAAACUAUUUUUUAUGUUCUUUUUUUUUUUUUUGGCCACACCCAAGGCAGGCAGAACUUCCUAGGCUAGGGAUCGAAUCUGAGCCGCAGAUGUGACAGAGCUGAAUCCUUAACCGCUAGACCCCCAGGGAACUCCCCAUCUUGCUUUGUUCUUAACCAUUUGUGCCAAGCAAAAUUGAUGAAGGUCUGAGUGUGGGCCUUUCCCUUCCUGCAAGCCCACCCCCCCAACACAUUAAAGAGCAUUUUGGCUUGAAGAUCUGGUCUUUGUCUCACCCGGCCUCCCUCCCUACCUGGCUUAGUGCAGCAUUUCCCUGGCCUGGGUGGACCUCAUCAAAAGCCCUUUAUGUGCUUUGAUUUCCAGUUGGGCAGCCCAGUGGACAGCGCUGGCAGGAAGAGGAGGGAGGCAGAGGGGCAAAGCCAUGGACUGAUUGCCCUGAUAGGCCUGGGUGGCCCUCUUCAUAGAACCUCUGGGCUCUGUUCAGGGGCUCCCUCCCCUUUUUCCUUCUGGUCGAGGGUGGUCCACUCCCCGUCCCUCUGCAACAGAAACCGUAGAACCCGCUGUCUGCACCAUCCAUUUCCCGGGACCUGCACUGAUAAGGCCACUUGGCUCCCUUCCUCUCCCAGGAAGGAUCUGCUGCUGACAGUUCCUUGAGGGUGUUUAUGAUGCUGAUUUGGGAGAAAAGAGGAGGGAGAGGAGACUGGAAGUUCUGCGGGGCAUAGAGAAGACAGGUGGAAGAGGAAAAGAGACUUUUGAGAAAAGUCGUUAUAUGCUAAGAAUCCAUUUUGUUGCUCUGAGCAUCACGUCUGGGCUGCACGGGGCUUCUGACCUCUGCGGCAGGCCUGGACCCAGUGGGCACGGCCCCAGCAAACAAACUCCCAAGUUGAGUUGAUCUUGCUGGCUCUCUAAACCCUGGCAUCUAUUUAUCCUACCACUACCAAAAAUGGAACCCCCGCCAAAUUACACUUGACCCUCCAAAGCGGGUCUUAGACAGUCCCCCAGGCUUCGAGGCAACCAAGGGAGGGCUUAGCAAAGGAAAUUUCUCACAGUCCUGGGCUGCAAACUUGCAUCCAGGGGCAGGAUGGGUUUGACGCCCCCUUGCAGAGAACCAGGGUUAAAACAACUCAAGAACUGAGGUGCCCUACACUGGGGAGUCAGAUGGCUCAGACAGGCCUCUGCUAGCCAGUAGCAGCGGAAGAGGUGGAGACACCGCCACCCGCCACACACACACCAGACAACUAUGACACAGUGGAAAUCUUGAGACAGAGGCCUGCUGCGGUUAUGGUCUGACUCUUGGAGCAUCUCAGAAGGACCUCUGGCUUCCUGAAGGGGAGCACAGGCUUUGCAGCAAACAGGGCUGACCAGGAAGGGACAUAGGGACUUCCCAUAGUGCACAGGACACAGAAGGGGUCGGCAUGGUGUCCUUGGUGUGCCCAGAUCAAGGAGAGGGAAAUCCACCCCAGGGCUCCAGGUGCCAGGGUGGACAGGGCCAAGGUGGCUCAGGGUGCACGGGAUGCUUGCAGGCCCGGCUGUGGACGGGGCUGAGAGCACUGAGGAGAGGAGGCGAGGUCUGGUGGCCAGGCCCAGGAUUGAGCCAGAAAGCCUGUGCUCUAGGCCCAGCGUGCCUCUUGCUGGCUGUGACACAGGAAUGGUUCCUCACCUUUCUGAAUGUCUGCUCAACGUGAUGGUUCUGCAGAGGGAGGAGCAAUCCAUCCUAAAGGGCCUGGCUCAGAGGAGGAGCUCGGCCGACAUGUACCCUCUGCCUUCCUUCCUUCUCGCUUUCCUCCCGCUGCUUUCCUCCCUCCCUCCCUCCCUCCCUCCCUCCUUCCCUUUAUCCUUCCUUCCCUCCCCGCCUCCUCCCCUCCAUCCCUCCUUCCAUCCCUCCCUCUUUCUCUCCCUCCCUCUCUCCCUCUUUUCCUCCUUCCGUCCUCCCCUCCUUCCUUCUCUUUCCCUCUCUCUCUUCCUGUCUUUAUUUUCUCCCUCUCCACCCCUCUCCUUGGGAACUUCUUUUCAGAGGCUUUGUAGAGCCCUAGCCCCCCCUUCCAAGGCAGAUCCCAAUGCUCCGUAGGACGCCCAGUGGAGCGUUGAAUCCCGAUCACCUCUAGCGAGUUUUGGGGGGUAGGGCAAUGCUCUGGGGGCCCCUCCCAGGUGCUCUGCGCAGCCACAAAGGCCACCUUCCAGCAGGGCCAGAAAAAGCAGGGCUCCCAAUCCCCCACAGACUAAACCUAGCAACAGUCAGGGUUCCUAUGGCAACCCAAGAUUUAUUUUUAGUCCUACUUUAACAUUAACAUGAUGUGAGGGGAUCUGAGACUUACAUUACUCUCUUUUAAACAGCAC